GCCCCGGUAGCUUAACCGGAUAGAGCAGGAGGGUUCUAACCUCAAGGUUGCAGGUUCGAGUCCUGCCCGGGGCACCA
rnacentral:tRNA from 2 species